GACUUGGAAUGGUGCAAACACAAUUCAAAGAACAUGAAUACCUUGAGCUCUGUUACCUGCUUCCAUCUUCACAGGAAGAAGCUAUUCUGGGAACUUGAAAGCAGAAUAAUCACAAGUCGGGGAGCCUGGGGACACUGCCACAGUGCCUGAAUGGGAGACAGCCAGGAAAGAAGAUUGUGGAAAUGGGGAAGAUCAGAUAUGGACCUGCAGGAGGCCUGGACUAACAUGGGUAUGGUAGGCCUACUCACUGUGGUGAGUAAGCCCAAUCACCUGAGGAUCACUUUGGAGAUUUGAGGGGCCAGAGUCUGUUUACCAGCUGAUUGCCCAGUAUGACUUGCUGGGAGGCAGGAUUGAGAGCUCUGAGCCUCACAUCUAGCAGAUUGCUACACUUCUCCUGCCUUCCUGCCACAGGGUGUUUACUGUGGGAUAAGUGCUGGAAUCACUAAGGCCAGUAGGCAAGCAUGCUGGAUCCCCUUGACUAGGUACACUAAUCAGUGUUGUUUAUUCUUAUUCUUUUCUUAUAGUUAUUUGUGGGAUAGUUGACUUUAAUUUUAUUUAUCUGAUUUGUUUUAGUGUUACUGCAGUGACAACAGAGUUGUCCCCCUCUGCGGUACUGAUGAUUAAGUCCUUGAGAGAGGCUACUUACAGACAUUCAAAUGAAACUGGAAGAAAGUCUUCCCAACAGGU